rnacentral:tRNA from 1 species
GUUUCCAUAGUUUAACGGAUAGAACGACCGCCUCCUAAGCGGUAAAUGGUGGUUCGAUUCCACCUGGAAACA